ACUACUUAAAAUAUUGUCGGUUGCAAAAAAAUCAUGGGUUGAAAACCGUUGUCUUCUUCUUCCUAGCAUGACAUCUCCUCUUCUCCCUCAUUUUUUUCUUCUCCCUUCAGUUGUGGUCACCGCUCCAUCACGACAAGGACGACCGCUGCUGCUGGACACUGAAAGACACCAGAAAUCGAUGCCGAAGGCCCCUUUCGCACAUGUGAAUAAUGGAGAUGUCAGUGGAAUUAUGCUUAAUGGUGAUGCUUUAAUAGCAUUUGAUUUUGUUUAGGUGAGUUUUUUUCUAUUAAAUGCAAAACAUAUUCUACGAAACUCGAAGUAAUUGAAAAUCAUAAUUGGAGGUAGAAGUAAGCUGUGGUUUAAGUUUGCUUUUUUGAUGUAGGAAACUCUAAAUGUUGAUUGACCAGAUUGGAUAAAAUAAUAGUAACUCAAAUUUAUCAGUUACCUAAAGAAUGCCUUACAUGAAACAAUUACGGUGCAAAAAGAAUAACUACACUAGAUUGUGAUUCUACAAUGAAUGCCUACACAAGGAUAUUAGCCAAGAAAUUGUCAACAUCUUUUCUCAUCAAUUGUGUUUGCUCAGCGAUGACAAAUCUACUCUACAACAUUGGAAAAUUAUCUAUUGCAUAAAUGAGUGAAUUUUGUACAAGUACUUAUCUGAAUUUUGCAAUAUGUAUUGAUAAUUUGAUAUGAGGAUAAAGUGGCCAAUUUCAAUUUA